CCUACGGGUGGCAGCAGUAGGGAAUAUUGCUCAAUGGGGGAAACCCUGAAGCAGCAACGCCGCGUGGAGGAUGAAGGUUUUCGGAUUGUAAACUCCUUUUGUUAGAGAAGAUAAUGACGGUAUCUAACGAAUAAGCACCGGCUAACUCCGUGCCAGCAUCCGCGGUAAUACGGCGGGUGCAAGCGUUACUCUGAAUCACUGGGCGUAAAGAGCGCGUAGGCGGGAUAGCAAGUCAGAUGUGAAAUCCUAUGGCUUAACCAUUGAACUGCAUUUUAAAAUGGUAUUCUUGAGGAUGGGAGAGGUAGGUGGAAUUCGUGGUGGAGGGGGAAAAUCCGUAGAGAUCAAGAGGAAUACUGAUUGCGAAGGCGACCUGCUAGAACAUUACUGACGCUGAUGCGCGAAAGCGUGGGGAGCAAACAGGAUUAGAUACCCCUGUAGUC
rnacentral:rRNA from 1 species